rnacentral:rRNA from 1 species
GACGUAGGGCGCGAGCGUUGUCCGGAUUUAUUGGGCGUAAAGAGCUCGUAGGCGGCUCGUUGCGUCAACCGUGAAAACCCGGGGCUUAACUUCGGGCUUGCGGUUGAUACGGGCGGGCUGGAGUUCGGUAGGGGAGACUGGAAUUCCUGGUGUAGCGGUGAAAUGCGCAGAUAUCAGGAAGAACACCGAUGGCGAAGGCAGCUCUCUGGGACGGUACUGACGCUGAGACGCGAAAGCGUGGGGAGCGAACAGG